UUAAGCGACUAAGCGUACACGGUGGAUGCCCUGGCAGUCAGAGGCGAUGAAGGGCGUGCUAAUCUGCGAUAAGCGCCGGUAAGGUGAUAUGAACCGUUAUAACCGGCGAUACCCGAAUGGGGAAACCCAGUGUGAUUCGUCACACUAUCAUUAACUGAAUCCAUAGGUUAAUGAGGCGAACCGGGGGAACUGAAACAUCUAAGUACCCCGAGGAAAAGAAAUCAACCGAGAUUCCCCCAGUAGCGGCGAGCGAACGGGGAGGAGCCCAGAGCCUGAAUCAGCAUGUGUGUUAGUGGAAGCGUCUGGAAAGGCGCGCGAUACAGGGUGACAGCCCCGUACACAAAAGCGCAUGUGCUGUGAGCUCGAUGAGUAGGGCGGGACACGUGGUAUCCUGUCUGAAUAUGGGGGGACCAUCCUCCAAGGCUAAAUACUCCUGACUGACCGAUAGUGAACCAGUACCGUGAGGGAAAGGCGAAAAGAACCCCGGCGAGGGGAGUGAAAAAGAACCUGAAACCGUGUACGUACAAGCAGUGGGAGCNGCUUUGGGGUGGGGUGACUGCGUACCUUUUGUAUAAUGGGUCAGCGACUUAUAUUCUGUAGCAAGGUUAACCGAAUAGGGGAGCCGGAGGGAAACCGAGUCUUAAUUGGGCGUUAAGUUGCAGGGUAUAGACCCGAAACCCGGUGAUCUAGCCAUGGGCAGGUUGAAGGUUGGGUAACACUAACUGGAGGACCGAACCGACUAAUGUUGAAAAAUUAGCGGAUGACCUGUGGCUGGGGGUGAAAGGCCAAUCAAACCGGGAGAUAGCUGGUUCUCCCCGAAAGCUAUUUAGGUAGCGCCUCGUGAAUUCAUCUCCGGGGGUAGAGCACUGUUUCGGCUAGGGGGCCAUCCCGGCUUACCAACCCGAUGCAAACUGCGAAUACCGGAGAAUGUUAUCACGGGAGACACACGGCGGGUGCUAACGUCCGUCGUGAAGAGGGAAACAACCCAGACCGCCAGCUAAGGUCCCAAAGUCAUGGUUAAGUGGGAAACGAUGUGGGAAGGCCCAGACAGCCAGGAUGUUGGCUUAGAAGCAGCCAUCAUUUAAAGAAAGCGUAAUAGCUCACUGGUCGAGUCGGCCUGCGCGGAAGAUGUAACGGGGCUAAACCAUGCACCGAAGCUGCGGCAGCGACGCUUAUGCGUUGUUGGGUAGGGGAGCGUUCUGUAAGCCUGUGAAGGUGGCCUGUGAGGGUUGCUGGAGGUAUCAGAAGUGCGAAUGCUGACAUAAGUAACGAUAAAGCGGGUGAAAAGCCCGCUCGCCGGAAGACCAAGGGUUCCUGUCCAACGUUAAUCGGGGCAGGGUGAGUCGACCCCUAAGGCGAGGCCGAAAGGCGUAGUCGAUGGGAAACGGGUUAAUAUUCCCGUACUUGGUGUUACUGCGAAGGGGGGACGGAGAAGGCUAUGUUGGCCGGGCGACGGUUGUCCCGGUUUAAGCGUGUAGGUGUGUGUUCCAGGUAAAUCCGGUUCACUUUAACACUGAGGCGUGAUGACGAGGCACUACGGUGCUGAAGCAACAAAUGCCCUGCUUCCAGGAAAAGCCUCUAAGCAUCAGGUAACAUCAAAUCGUACCCCAAACCGACACAGGUGGUCAGGUAGAGAAUACCAAGGCGCUUGAGAGAACUCGGGUGAAGGAACUAGGCAAAAUGGUGCCGUAACUUCGGGAGAAGGCACGCUGANUCAGUCGAAGAUACCAGCUGGCUGCAACUGUUUAUUAAAAACACAGCACUGUGCAAACACGAAAGUGGACGUAUACGGUGUGACGCCUGCCCGGUGCCGGAAGGUUAAUUGAUGGGGUCAGCGCAAGCGAAGCUCCUGAUCGAAGCCCCGGUAAACGGCGGCCGUAACUAUAACGGUCCUAAGGUAGCGAAAUUCCUUGUCGGGUAAGUUCCGACCUGCACGAAUGGCGUAAUGAUGGCCAGGCUGUCUCCACCCGAGACUCAGUGAAAUUGAACUCGCUGUGAAGAUGCAGUGUACCCGCGGCAAGACGGAAAGACCCCGUGAACCUUUACUAUAGCUUGACACUGAACAUUGAGCCUUGAUGUGUAGGAUAGGUGGGAGGCUUUGAAGCGUGGACGCCAGUCUGCGUGGAGCCGACCUUGAAAUACCACCCUUUAAUGUUUGAUGUUCUAACGUGGACCCGUAAUCCGGGUUGCGGACAGUGUCUGGUGGGUAGUUUGACUGGGGCGGUCUCCUCCUAAAGAGUAACGGAGGAGCACGAAGGUUGGCUAAUCCUGGUCGGACAUCAGGAGGUUAGUGCAAUGGCAUAAGCCAGCUUGACUGCGAGCGUGACGGCGCGAGCAGGUGCGAAAGCAGGUCAUAGUGAUCCGGUGGUUCUGAAUGGAAGGGCCAUCGCUCAACGGAUAAAAGGUACUCCGGGGAUAACAGGCUGAUACCGCCCAAGAGUUCAUAUCGACGGCGGUGUUUGGCACCUCGAUGUCGGCUCAUCACAUCCUGGGGCUGAAGUAGGUCCCAAGGGUAUGGCUGUUCGCCAUUUAAAGUGGUACGCGAGCUGGGUUUAGAACGUCGUGAGACAGUUCGGUCCCUAUCUGCCGUGGGCGCUGGAGAACUGAGGGGGGCUGCUCCUAGUACGAGAGGACCGGAGUGGACGCAUCACUGGUGUUCGGGUUGUCAUGCCAAUGGCACUGCCCGGUAGCUAAAUGCGGAAGAGAUAAGUGCUGAAAGCAUCUAAGCACGAAACUUGCCCCGAGAUGAGUUCUCCCUGAGACUUAGAGUCUCCUGAAGGAACGUUGAAGACGACGACGUUGAUAGGCCGGGUGUGUAAGCGCAGCGAUGCGUUGAGCUAACCGGUACUAAUGAACCGUGAGGCUUAACCUU
rnacentral:rRNA from 1 species